rnacentral:rRNA from 2 species
UACGGAGGGUGCAAGCGUUACUCGGAAUCACUGGGCGUAAAGAGCGUGUAGGCGGAUAGGUAAGUCAGAAGUGAAAUCCAAUAGCUCAACUAUUGAACUGCUUUUGAAACUGCUUAUCUAGAAUAUGGGAGAGGUAGAUGGAAUUUCUGGUGUAGGGGUAAAAUCCGUAGAGAUCAGAAGGAAUACCGAUUGCGAAGGCGAUCUACUGGAACAUUAUUGACGCUGAGACGCGAAAGCGUGGGGAGCAAACAGG